UUUUAUGGAGAGUUUGAUCCUGGCUCAGGAUGAACGCUGGCGGCGUGCCUAAUACAUGCAAGUCGAGCGAACGGACGAGAAGCUUGCUUCUCUGAUGUUAGCGGCGGACGGGUGAGUAACACGUGGAUAACCUACCUAUAAGACUGGGAUAACUUCGGGAAACCGGAGCUAAUACCGGAUAAUAUUUUGAACCGCAUGGUUCAAAAGUGAAAGACGGUCUUGCUGUCACUUAUAGAUGGAUCCGCGCUGCAUUAGCUAGUUGGUAAGGUAACGGCUUACCAAGGCAACGAUGCAUAGCCGACCUGAGAGGGUGAUCGGCCACACUGGAACUGAGACACGGUCCAGACUCCUACGGGAGGCAGCAGUAGGGAAUCUUCCGCAAUGGGCGAAAGCCUGACGGAGCAACGCCGCGUGAGUGAUGAAGGUCUUCGGAUCGUAAAACUCUGUUAUUAGGGAAGAACAUAUGUGUAAGUAACUGUGCACAUCUUGACGGUACCUAAUCAGAAAGCCACGGCUAACUACGUGCCAGCAGCCGCGGUAAUACGUAGGUGGCAAGCGUUAUCCGGAAUUAUUGGGCGUAAAGCGCGCGUAGGCGGUUUUUUAAGUCUGAUGUGAAAGCCCACGGCUCAACCGUGGAGGGUCAUUGGAAACUGGAAAACUUGAGUGCAGAAGAGGAAAGUGGAAUUCCAUGUGUAGCGGUGAAAUGCGCAGAGAUAUGGAGGAACACCAGUGGCGAAGGCGACUUUCUGGUCUGUAACUGACGCUGAUGUGCGAAAGCGUGGGGAUCAAACAGGAUUAGAUACCCUGGUAGUCCACGCCGUAAACGAUGAGUGCUAAGUGUUAGGGGGUUUCCGCCCCUUAGUGCUGCAGCUAACGCAUUAAGCACUCCGCCUGGGGAGUACGACCGCAAGGUUGAAACUCAAAGGAAUUGACGGGGACCCGCACAAGCGGUGGAGCAUGUGGUUUAAUUCGAAGCAACGCGAAGAACCUUACCAAAUCUUGACAUCCUUUGACAACUCUAGAGAUAGAGCCUUCCUCUUCGGGGGACAAAGUGACAGGUGGUGCAUGGUUGUCGUCAGCUCGUGUCGUGAGAUGUUGGGUUAAGUCCCGCAACGAGCGCAACCCUUAAGCUUAGUUGCCAUCAUUAAGUUGGGCACUCUAAGUUGACUGCCGGUGACAAACCGGAGGAAGGUGGGGAUGACGUCAAAUCAUCAUGCCCCUUAUGAUUUGGGCUACACACGUGCUACAAUGGACAAUACAAAGGGCAGCGAAACCGCGAGGUCAAGCAAAUCCCAUAAAGUUGUUCUCAGUUCGGAUUGUAGUCUGCAACUCGACUACAUGAAGCUGGAAUCGCUAGUAAUCGUAGAUCAGCAUGCUACGGUGAAUACGUUCCCGGGUCUUGUACACACCGCCCGUCACACCACGAGAGUUUGUAACACCCGAAGCCGGUGGAGUAACCUUUUAGGAGCUAGCCGUCGAAGGUGGGACAAAUGAUUGGGGUGAAGUCGUAACAAGGUAGCCGUAUCGGAAGGUGCGGCUGGAUCACCUCCUUUCUAA
rnacentral:rRNA from 1 species